CGGACACUCUUCAAGGUGCUGCAUGGUUGUCGUCAGCUCGUGCCGUGAGGUGUCGGGUUAAGUCCCAUAACGAGCGCAACCCUUACCGUUAGUUACCAUCAGGUUAAGCGUGGGGACUCUAGCGGGACUGCCACCGUAAGGUGAGAGGAAGGUGGGGAUGACGUCAAAUCAGCACGGCCCUUAUGUCCAGGGCUACACACGUGUUACAAUGGCCAGUACAAAGGGCAGCUACCGGGUGACCGGAUGCUAAUCUCUAAAGCUGGUCUCAGUUCGGAUCGAAGUCUGCAACCCGACUUCGUGAAGCUGGAUUCGCUAGUAAUCGCGCAUCAGCCAUGGCGCGGUCGAAUACGUUCCGGGCCUU
rnacentral:rRNA from 1 species